GCUACCCAUUUCACAGAUGGUUUCCGCGAUCCGCCUUUGGCGGGUCCGGGAUGAAAAGGGAACGUGGUGCGAUCCGGCCUCUCUCGGCCAGAACAAUUCCACGACUGCCCCCGCAACUGUAGGCGGAGAGCGACCCCGGAAGAUCCACUGGGCGCAAGGCGACAGCCUGCGGCCGGGAAGGACCGGAGAAGCCCAGACCCGCAAGUCAGGAGACCUGCCAUCGCACAACUCGAAAC
rnacentral:ncRNA from 1 species